GGGGGUGUAGUUCAGUGGUAGAGUGCUUGCCUAGCAUGUAUGAGGCUUGGGUUUGAGCCCCAGCAUCACAA
rnacentral:tRNA from 1 species